UAGAGACUUCUUUCCAUGAGGCUUGAACAAACACACAAACCAGGGACUCAAAACCCCUUCUCUUUGACCCUCAUCGUCUCUCUCUCUCUCUUCACCGACCCCCUCCCUUCACCUUGGCUUCUUCUUCCUCUGCCGACGAUGCUGCUCCACCACCAUCAGCAACCCACGCCACUCUCUCAUCUCUCUCGUCUCUCUUCUCGACCUUGCGCAGUACCACCGCCGACGGUGGCCUUAAAUGGUGGUCGUCGAUCUUCCAUCACUCAAUUGGGUAAUUUCUUUAACCUUGUUGUUAAUUGAUUUGAGUUUUAAUGAAUUGGGAAAAUUCCAAACCCUAUCUUACUCUUCUUUGAUUUUCUAUCUCACCUCCGACGUGAGGUCGUUUCGCCGUCCCGGUGGGCUCGCCGCCAUUGUUGGUGGUGUCGGGUAGUAGCCCUCGAUGUUGGUGUCGCUUUCUCCCCUCCUUGCCACAGUUUUUGCUGUUGUUGCUGUUGAUUCGAUUCGAUUGUUGUUGUUGAUUGUUGCUCCAGUUUUUGUUACUUCUCUGCUUCAAUUUCUCUGAAGAGUCGUUGAAUUAUGGAUUUUAGCGGAGGUUGAUGAUCGAAAUGUAUAAUUCUUGGAGUUUAAAUCGAAGAGUUAAAAUAUUUUGCAGGCAGCGAGAAUCAAGCGUAGAAGUCCUCUAGAGGCCUUAUAUGUUUCAAGGCGGGCAUAUGGAUUCUCCAAGUGUAUUUAAGUCAUUCCUCAUUUAUUAAUGGGUUGUAUAAUUUGUUUCUAGAGUUUUUUUUUUUUCUUUGGGUUAUUCUUUAUGGAUUAUAUAUCCUUGUUGAGUUGGUGUCACUCCAAUGAUGUUUUUGGGAGAUGUUAUAUGCUGGAAUGAUGAAAUAGCAGGUGAAAGAAAAUCUGGCGUAAUUUCCUAAACAGUAUUUUAGGUCGUCCAUAUUUAGGGGAAGUGCUGCCGAAAUUUUAAUAAUUAAUUAAAAGAGUUUUAAUUAGUAUCUUUGAGAUAGGCUAAGCCGUGAUUAAAUCUUUGAAGUUGUUGAAGAGUUAAAGUUUGUUUAACGGGGUUUAAAGUUAUAAUUAUGUUAAGUUUGUUUAACUUAGGACUAAGUGUGUUUAGAAAGCAGCUCGUUAAGGGCGGGUUGUUACAAGUUGCGUUAUAUGUUGGACGUUCAUUUGAUCGUCAUCGUCCCCUUGAGUACGAAUAUGUCCAAUAAUUAGACCUUUUAUAUGUCCACUUUUGGACAUUAAUUUAACUAAUUUGAGUUUAUAAAUUCUUUUAUAUUGGACAUUAAAAAAUAUAGAAAUAUUGGUCUAAGUAAAAUAAAAUCAAUAUUUUAGUAUAUGUACUAUAUAUAUUAGCAUAUUUUCUAUAAUACUCAAAUUUAGUAUACGUAGUGAUGUUUUUAUUAUUUUAAUCUCUAUUUUUAGAUAUGUUUUCCAUAUAAGUAGAUUAAAAUCAUACUACGUACUAUGUACUCUGUAUAAUGGAUUAAUUUUUUUUUAUUAAAAUACAAUCUUAUAUUGGUUAUAUUUGUAGAAAAUUUAAAAAUAUAUUUCCUAUGUAUAGAAUGACACUUUUCUUAUUUUGAGGAAAAGAGAAUCAAAUAUAUUUUUGAGGUAAAUGUUAACAAAAUAAUUAUUGAAGCAAGUAUUUUAUUUUAUUUAUAUAUUUUUUAAUAUUUAUUAGAGAGGCCAACCAAUGAGUGACAUUUGUCAUCACCACAUUGAUUUCCUCUCUUUUGAUUGGGAAGAUGAAAGAUUGUUGUUAUGGAAAUUAAAGCUCGCAUUGAUUUGGACAUGGGAAGUUGAAGGUCAGACAGAGAACAAUCGGAAUAUGAGAAAUUGCUGCAGUUUUUAGCUUGCGUUUUGUUUUUUUUUUUUUUAAGAAUGAGACACGUGGAAAACGUAGAAAAGGGAGAGUAUUAGAGUGGUACGCGUAUUAUUUGUGGUUACAGUUUUUAAAUACUAGGUAUUGAUUAUGUUGGCUCGAUCCCCUUUACUUGUUUUUAAUAUAAAACGAUGUUUGCCCGAUUACUUGUUGAUUUCUAUCCGGCUGGCAUGUUUAUAUUCUUCUAGAGUUAUCUAUUUGGGAGAAAGGGAUGGACAGUCUUUAAUCUUAUUAAUUUUUUUUUUUUCUGUAUCUCGGGAUAAAUUAAGGAUAUAUUUACGUUUGUUGACCCGGUAUAUGUAAAUAUUGAGCCCCACAUAAUCGUGCCAUCAUUCAGUGAAGAAGAGGUUGACAUUGAUUUUAUGAGUAUAAGAAGCAUGAACAAAUAGUCUACUUAUACGUUGAUUAAUUCUUAUCGAUCAAUUGAUCUAAUUCUCUUUGAAGAUUCUUCUACCAUGUUGCCAACUGAACCCAUAAAUGAGACUGUUAUGUUGUCUCCACAUGAGUCCAUUAACCUGCUGAUUCGCCACUUCUGACUUCUCUCACCCGCGGCCCAGGUUAAGGCCCAGCUCUUCGAUCACCGUGUAUCUCAACUAGACCUGUGCAAUGGGCUGGAGGCCCGUUAAAAGCCCUAGCCCGGCCUAGUUAUUAAAGGGCUCAGCCCUUUAUCUUAUUAUAUGGGGUGGGCUUUUAAAGGGCUUAAUUUUAAAAGGGUUCUUAAAGGGUUGGAUGGGAUUUUAAAGGGCUUAGUUCAAAGGGUUACUAAAAUAAAAAAUUCAGCAAAUUAUUAAUCAAAAACUAACAAAAAAAAUAUCCCUCCCUCCUUCAAUUAGAACCGGCUAUACCUUAAAAUUAAAAUCCUACAUUUUCUCCCUCCUCUUUUCCCCAAAAAUGAAGAACCCUAAUUUUCUCUCCUCUUUUUCCCCAAAAUUAAUAACCCUAAUUCUGUCGAACAAUCACCACGCCGCCGUAACAAUCGCCGUGGCCGCUCAAUUUGUCAAGCAAUACCUCGUCAUCGCUCAAUUUGUCAAGCAAAUACGUCGUCGUCGCUCAAUUUGAGUAUUAUGGAGGGUACUAGUGCACCAACUUCAUCGACAAGGCCGUUAGAAGAUGGGUAUAGUGAAUAUUCGGCCCCACAACAACGCAAGAGGAAGAAAAAGUCUAUGGUAUGGCGUGAAAUGAAGGAAGGAAA